rnacentral:rRNA from 1 species
AAUAUUGGUCAAUGGAGGCAACUCUGAACCAGCCACGUCGCGUGAAGGAUGACGGCCCUACGGGUUGUAAACUUCUUUUGCAAGGGAAUAAAGUGUGGCACGCGUGCCAUUUUGCAAGUACCUUGCGAAUAAGGAUCGGCUAACUCCGUGCCAGCAGCCGCGGUAAUACGGAGGAUCCGAGCGUUAUCCGGAUUUAUUGGGUUUAAAGGGUGCGCAGGCGGGGGAUUAAGUCGGUGGUGAAAUCUUGCAGCUCAACUGUAAGCGUGCCAUCGAAACUGGUUCCCUUGAGUGUGGAUGAAGUAGGCGGAAUUUGUGGUGUAGCGGUGAAAUGCAUAGAUAUCACGAGGAACUCCGAUUGCGCAGGCAGCUUACCAAGCCAUAACUGACGCUCAUGCACGAAGGCGUGGGGAUCAAACAGG